GACGAACGCUGGCGGCGUGCCUAAUACAUGCAAGUCGAGCGGAGUGGCGGACGGGUGAGUAAUGCCUAGGAAUCUGCCUGGUAGUGGGGGAUAACGUCCGGAAACGGGCGCUAAUACCGCAUACUAUCAAAUGAGCCUAGGUCGGCUUAGCUAGUUGGUGGGGGAAAGGCCUACCAAGGCGACUAUCCGUAACUGUUCUGAGAGGAUGAUCAGUCACACUGGAACUGAGACACGGUCCAGGCUCCUACGGUAGGCGGCAGUGGGGAAUAUUGGACAAUGGGCUAAAGCCUGAUCCAGCCAUGCCGCGUGUGUGAAGAAGUUCUUCGGAUUGUAAAGCACUUUAAGUUGGGAGGCGUUACCAACAGAAUAUGCACCGGCUAACGUCGUGCCAGCAGCCGCGGUAAUAC
rnacentral:rRNA from 1 species